ensembl:ncRNA lncRNA:CR45360 long non-coding RNA:CR45360
GAGCACACACAUGUGGGCCCUGGUGUAUAAAUAUACAAAUGGGAUUUUGUGUAAUACGGAUCGCAUUUCGCCUUCUGUCUGUCCGACGUUGUUUAAAAAUAAAUCCAUUCGGACUUUGGGCGUUUAGUUUAGUUGCGCGGAGUACGGGGCACGCUAUUAAAUAACACUCGGGCUUCAGGCCACGCAGAGCCAGUUCGAAUUGCAGUUAAGCACCCGGGCAGCCGGUUGGAGCACAGUAAGCCCUCGGUACAGGAACAUGUGGAUCCGUGUGCGCCAAAGUGGAUUUACCAACUUGAAAUUAUCGCCGAGCAUGUGGCGCCAUCCAGCGGCGGUGGGCGGCACCUCGGUGGCUAUAACUUAAUGCAAUUAAUAUGCAAAAUCGUGACACUACCACUCACCCUCCACCAACCAUCCUACCUAUCCACGAAACGCCAGCAACUGCGGGAUGGAAAGACGACGUGCACAGCAUGUGCAGAAUGGUGCAUAUGCCAUCCCCUCGCAGCCCUUUUCCUUGUGUCUUUCCACAUUUUCCAUUUCCCAUUUCCCGGCCCGCUUUCCCUCAGCUCUGCGGAGCGCAUUAAGAGCAAAGGCAAAGUGCGCUAAAUUGAUGAGCGUCACGUGCGUUUUGCUCACUCGGUGCCCGCCCCCUUGCAACGGUGUCAUCCAACGAGGGUGGGCGUGGUCGGCGUCAGUGCUGAUCGAGCUAAUGAAUCGGGAGUAGAGCCAUACACCUUAGAUUUUCCCGGAAAAUAAAACUCACCAUUCACCCCAGCUAGGCUCAAAACCAUAGCGAUCGCAUUUU